rnacentral:misc_RNA from 1 species
GAUGAAGAACGUAGUGAAAUGCGAUAAGUAAUGUGAAUUGCAGAAUUCAGUGAAUCAUCGAAUCUUUGAACGCACAUUGCGCCCCUUGGUAUUCCGAGGGGCAUGCCUGUUCGAGCGUCAUUAUAACCCCUCAAGCUCAGCUUGGUGUUGGGGCCUGCCGCACGGGCAGCCCUUAAAAUCAGUGGCGGUGCCAUCUGGCUCUAAGCGUAGUAAUUCUUCUCGCUAUAGAGUCACGGUGGAUGCUUGCCAUUAACCCCCAAUUUUCAAUGGUUGACCUCGGAUCAGGUAGGGAUACCCGCUGAACUUAAGCAUAUCAAUAAGCGGAGGA